rnacentral:tRNA from 1 species
GGUGUAGCUCAGUGGCAGAGCACUGCUUCUCAUAUGGAAGCUCUGGGUUCAAUUCCCAGUACC